UCCUGCUGGUGGCCUUUGGGUUCAGCUGCUUCUACCCCAGCAGCACCUCCCGCUCGUGCCCACCCUCCUGGGCCACCCUGGUGUGGGAUGUGCCCCAGCUGGAGAGGGGCACUGCCCCCAAGGGCACCACCGUGGCAGAGGUGCUUUGCUGGAGCAUCCCAGCCCUGUGCCUGCUGCUCCUGCUGCUUUUCCUCAGCAGGACCUACUGGAGGAAGAGAUGUGGCAGGAAGUCUGGAUGCUCCUGCAAGACCUCCAAGCUGCUCUCCAAGCUGAAGGAAGAUCCUGACUUGCUGAAGCUCUACCUGAAGCACCUGCAGAGGUGCAGGACAUCCUUUGUGGAAGUGUUCCAGAAAAACCAGCAGGAAUAUACAGGAGGGCUUCGAGGAGGAGAAGACACACUUGGCUGCUUGCCAGUGAAUUCCCAGCUGUAGCAAGGAUCCCAGGAAAGCUGGGCAGUGGAUGGAGCUGUCCCAAGGCACGGGGACAGCACAGCUUUGCAAUAAAGGUUUCAGGUGAAAUUGUCUCCAAGGUAAAUGGAACAUG